rnacentral:rRNA from 1 species
CAAUAGCGUAUAUUAAAGUUGUUGCAGUUAGAACGCUCGUAGUCGGAUUUCGGGGCGGGUCGACCGGUCUGCCGAUGGGUACGCACUGGCCGACGCGUCCUUUUUGCCGGAGACCGUCCCUACUCUUAACUGAGCGGGGUCGGGAGACGGCACUUUUACUUUGAAAAAAUCAGAGUGUUUCAAGCAGGCAGCUCGCUCUUGCAUGGAUUAGCAUGGGAUAAUGAAAUAGGACUUUGGUGCUAUUUUGUUGGUUUCGAACACCGAAGUAAUGAUGAGAAGGGACAGUCAGGGGCACUCGUAUUCCGCCGAGAGAGGUGAAAUUCUCAGACCAGCGGAAGACGAACCACUGCGAAAGCAUUUGCCAGGGAUGUUUNCACUG